rnacentral:tRNA from 1 species
GUGGUGGCUCAGUGGUAGAGCACUUGCCUAGCAUGUGUGAGGCCCUGGGUUCGAUCCUUAGCACCACA